CGCUGUUUACCUGGCUUUUAAGACUGGUCUCGAUCUACUUCAUGCUUAAUUAAUGAACUUACACCUCAUUAAUGAAUUAGAAACGAGUACGAAUUGAUUUUGGCUAUAAAACACAUAGGAAUUUAGAAUUCCUCUAUCAAUUUGGUCCUUCGAAUCCGGAUCUAAAUACCUCUCCCUGUUGUCUGGAGGUAGUACGCUGUAAAUCGUGCACGGACGAGUUUUUGACUCGUUUUACUAAAAGACCUGACCUCUGAAUUGAGGUUAAAAUUAAAACAGUCCUGCGUAUUAUCACGGAGGACAGGAAGGGUGACUAGAUACAACGAACAGUGCUUUUCCCAGCCGGCAGCAGGUAAAGUAGCUUUAAUUCUCGAAUUUGGGAGGGAUUAUUUAGGAUAUUUAUUGAUUAAAAUGUUAUGAAGGAGUUGAAUUUGAUCAAUAAUAGGUGCUUGAAUAUUCUGAACAAAUAAAAUGGGUUUCUACCGGGGGUAUUAACCAAAAUCGAUAGGAAGGAAGCAGGUCCGAAAGUGACCUGUGGUAAGGUGCGCUACCAUCAAAUAAACUAGAGCUUAAUAAAGCCUGGUCUUGCAAGCCAGAAGGUUAUUAAGGAGUGAUAUAGUACGCAUUGGAGAAUUAGGACGCUUGUUCCGUACAAAUAGGAUGGCCAAAAUUUCAAAAGACAUACCUAAAUAAAGAUAAAUUAGGCUUGGUGAGAAGGCUGGGUAAUUCUAGGCGAACAGAAUAAUUGAACCUGUACAAUGCUGAAAGAAAUUAAUAUCAAAUGAUAAGUGAUUAGUCUAGAGUAGUGAGAUUCGAGACAUUAACGUUGAAAGUCCCAAAAUGAAUAUCCUAUGGGUGAAAUGUGAUGUCCGAUCAAAAGUCUUCUAUAGACGUGGUUCACAGGAGAGGUUAACUUAGUCUAGAGUAGUGAGAUAUGAGACAUUAACGUUGAAAGUCCCAAAAUGAAUAUCCUAUGGGUGAAAUGUGAUGUCCGAUCAAAAGUCUUCUAUGGACGCGGUUCACAGGAUGGAAAAUACAUACUGAUUAUUUUUAAAGGAACACACACAUAGUCAGACAGUAAAAGUAACUAAGUAACGGUAAAUUACAAAUUUAUAGAACUGCACGCACAUAGAAUUUAAAAUGAUAUAGAAAGGCAUAGAUAAGUGAUUAGAUACCAUAGCUACUAGUAACGGCAAGGAUUUAGAAUGGGUGGGAAUGCUUCAAAGAAAGCCCCGGAACUAACGGGAGACGAGCGUUACAUGGAACAGAGAGACAGGAGAAACAUCGAUUUCGGUCUAAGAUGGAGAAAGAAAUACGAUUUUGAUGGCCGUCUAAAUGUAGAAAAGCUGGAAUCCCUUAUAAAACAGAUACAUAAGGAAUGUGGUAAUAAUGUGAAAAAGUAGAAUAUUGAGGGGGUGUGCAUGACUGUUGGAAAAAGUGUUAAACUCUAUUAACGUAAAAUUCUGUGUGUAGAUUUGAGCUGGUACAUUAAGUAUUUCAGUUGGAGCUGGUACAUUGGGUAUUUCAGUUGGAGCUGGUACCGGUGAGAAUGUUGAAAAAGGUGCGGGCUUGCUGAUGAGAUGUUUGCACAGAGCUGUAUCAUAAUGUAUUGAGAGGGGAGUCGUAUUGAACAAAAAAAAAAAAGACAUUAAAAAUAAUGGCGAGACAAUUGAGGUAAUAUGCUAUUUUGCCCAAAAUGAUCUGGUGGAAGGAUGUAUUGAGAUGAGAGUCAUAUUUAAAUAAAUGUAUCAUAGGAGAAAAAAGUCACCUAAAGUUAAAAUGUAGGGGAUAACGGAGAGAUACGAUACAAUUUCGGGCUAUCCGGACGUUAUAGCUAUUUAUGAAUCGACUGACAUAUGAUAAGUUUAGCAUAAAACAUGGUACGUUUAAAUGUUAGAGUAUGAUAAGUUGAGAAGUUGGGUUGGUUAUGCUUUGAUGAUUAGAAUUUAAAACUUGAACACAAUCUGAAUAGGGAAUAUAUAUAUUUUACAGAGGCAGGCAGAUGUGUGAUGACGUUGCACGUUUAACAACAUCGUUCCUCAAAUUUAAACUGAGAAAAGGGGUUGUGGCAUUUAGAGGAAAAAUGCGUGCAUUAUAGCUUAGAGUUACUUUUCAAAAGCGGCCAGAAGUUCCAGAUACAUUUCAUUAAAAAGAGAAGUAUCGUAAAGAUGCCACAGAUUGCAACGGAAGUGCCAAGCACUAAAUGGGCUAUAUAGUGCAACGCUUUGGACUAUAAGAUAGAUUUUAUGCACUACAGGUGAAGUCACUCAAUCCAGUCCCAUAGGCUUGUUGGGGGGACCAUACCAAGGACUCCUGGUGACAGCUAGCUGAAAGAGCUACCCGCAUUCAUAUCGCACUGCGGGAGGGUAAGGCACAUUAACACUGUCGAACAAUAACAGAGUUUGAGAGGAGAACUGGAAUUAACAGAAUUCUGGGGGCCAUCUCUCGAAUGAAGAAUACCUUACCUGUCCUUUCCUCACUGUUCUUGUUCAUAGAAGUGAAAAUGUGUCUGACUCUUGCUAAUGAUGUGUUUUCUGGAAGAGGGUGGGGCUUUAUAGGUGAGCUGUCCAUCCUAAACUGUAUGGUUGGAGAUCUUAUUCCUACAACAUGAACCCGAGAAGGCUAGAGGGCAAUAUUGACAUAAUUAAACGAGAAAUUAGUAUUAACCAAGCAUAAGAGAUCACUUGAUCUGGAUAAACAGGAAGUGAGAGUAGGAUAGGGAGGGAUGUCUCAGUGGAGUUCUAUGUAAACCAAGUGGUGUCUGACUCCUUGGCAGUUCAGGACUAAGAGAUAGCUAUGAUGGAAGACAUAUAUGCAAGUCUCUGUAGUUCAUGGAAACAAGUUAUAGCUCACAUCAUGUGAGAAGGCUACAUAAAUCUACAUACCCAGCAUGGAAGGAGAUGGAGUUUAGUGAAAGUAAGGGUUUCAGUUGAUAACCUAGUGCAUUCCAGGUAGAAAAAGUUAGAGCAGCUGGUUGCUCUAUAGGCAGCUGAAUACAAGCAUUGUCCCUGACAAAGCAGAUACUGACGGUGGAGUUGUCCAGAGCCAAGAGCCGGUGUGGAUAGUUCAGAAAUGGAAUUAUUCACCUAAGGGAACAGCCUGUAUAGUAAAGCUAUUCAUGAAAGCAGGAAAGCCAGAUAACAACAGUUGUGUGGAUUUGCACUAUUUAUAUCCACAUGCUCCUCUGAAAUCUAGGCUUCCUCCCUUCACAGUGACAAGAGGAGAUUGAUACUGUCUGGCCCGGUAUAGUGCUUAUGGGACAGAGAAUAUUACUACUGAUGGGGUGAUGAGUGAUUUGGCAGACUGGUUGAGAUCUGGGGAUUUCAGUAAGAUAAGGAGGCUCAGGGCUCACAUCUGUUGAAUGUGUGGGAGAAUGACAUGAUGGCUGAGUAUUACUGGCUAAUUGAACAGAGGUAUGUGUACUGGUACAUUUUGAGAAUGCCUUUUACAUUCAUUAUGUUGACUAAACGGGAGAAAAUAAGUACUCCGACUGGGUCUUUUGAUGAUAGGGUUUGUAUUAAUAACAUUGUGGAUCCAAGGGUGGCAGAUGAGAUCAAAGCGAUAAAUUAGAUCCUGGUAGGAUUAGAGUCAAGUAUUUUUUGGUGGUCCACUCUCAAUGAGAAUGUGGAUUGGAUCGAUUAUAUCUAUUAAAAAUCCACAGCGCUUCACCAAUUAUUUUAGAGAUGUAAUGAAUGACUAGGCAGAAUAGAAUAGUCUUGGAUGUUUGCUGGCUGAAGACGGUGGGGGUGUAUAGGUAAUUUGACUCCGGGAUAUACAGUUGGGAUGGAUCAGUGACCAAGGCUUUGUCUGGUUUACACACCCUAGUUCACGGGUUGGCAGAAACUCUGGGGUAGAUACUUCUCUGACUGAUUGGGUUUUCAUAGUAUGUUUGGAAAAUGGAAAAAUGUUAUGAUCACUGUGUUAUGGACUACAUUCACCUGUGUGACUGUGUUAGUUUUGUACGGACGUGGUUGAUUGCGUGUACGUAUGAAAGUUAUCAUUUCCAGGACUCUGGAGAAAUCAAUGACGAUUCAGAUGGAGAGAUAUGGGCAGAUUCCAAAUUCUGACCCGUGGAGGACUGAAUGCCUGACUACAGAACAAGUGGAUGGAUCUGGAUCUUUCAUCAUUGGGGAAUUUAUAUUUGAUGAGACUAGUGUUGAGGGGAAUUAGAUUGUACUUUGUUUCAAUAUUGGACUGUUUUUUAAUAAAGAUUGUAACGAAAAUCCGGAAAGAAGAGUUAUGAUUCUGAUGUAGGUUUAAAAACAGUUGGAGUUAAGGUUAGAUUUGAUUAAUGAUGUGUGAAGAGUCGGAUAAACAUUUAUAAUAAUGUUGAUUAUGUGUCUAUUCAUAUGAUAAUCUGAUAAACCUUUAUAAUAAGGUUAGUAUGAGUAGGUUGAUAGUUUCAUUUUUAUGAUAUAAUGUAAACUAGAUGUAGAUUUGAAUGUAUAAUAUUUGAUCAAAGGGAGGAUUGUUAGAGGAAAUUAUAGUUGAAAUGAUUAAUUAUGUAUACAUUAUUGAUUAAAACCAUUUAUUCGGAUACUAUUAUGUUAUGAUAUGAAAUGUAUGGGCUCUUGUUUAAGCUGUUACUGAAAAUGUAAGUAUAAACAAAUUAAUUGUCUGUACCUUGCUGGGUUAAGGGGGAGAGAUGAGAUAAGCUUUUCAGACAGAUAAGAAUGUUUGGGUUGUGUUACAUUAGUGGAGAAAAGUAUAUCUUUUAGACAGUUUGGAAUGUAGUUUUAUGAGGGGAGUGGAAGAAGAUUUCCUGACCUGUAGACACUGAUAUAUUGGGGGGAUGGAAGAGAGUGUGUGAAACUGAUGAUGUCAUUUUAUGUUCUCUCUUUAAAAUGUAAUGUUCUUUGUAUUUUGGGUCAGUACUCACUUGAAUUAAACGCUGUUUACCUGGCU